CGAAAGGAACGCUAAUACCGCAUACGUCCUACGGGAGAAAGCAGGGGACCGUUCGGGCCUUGCGCUAUCAGAUGAGCCUAGGUCGGAUUAGCUAGUUGGUGAGGUAAUGGCUCACCAAGGCGACGAUCCGUAACUGGUCUGAGAGGAUGAUCAGUCACACUGGAACUGAGACACGGUCCAGACUCCUACGGGAGGCAGCAGUC
rnacentral:rRNA from 1 species